ensembl:lncRNA
GAGAGAGAGGGGAGGAGGAUGUGAGCGGGAGAAGCUGUGAUGACGAGAGCAGUAGAAAUAAAGAGACGGAGGGGAACACGGAUGAGUGUGUGUACCGGGGAGAGAGAGAGAGAGAGAGAGAGAGAGCGAGCGAUGAAUCAAACCGGUGGAUGUGAAGCUCAGUUAAUCGGCGCGCGCUGAUUCGGGAUCCGUCGGUGAGCUCUGUGAGCGCGUGCUGAUGCUGGACCACACGGAAGCGGUUUUCCCCCCGCGCGCUGCAGGAGGAUGUGAUGUGCGCGCGAGGAGCAGGUUGAUGCGCUGAAGCCGGUGGAGGACUUUACCGCACGAGCCUCCGGAGAUGUUCGGCGUGUGUGUGUGAGAUUCCGGCACAUGGAGCUCUGUAGAGCGGAACAUCCUCCGACUGUCAGCGGCUUUUCAGGCUCCAACCGCAGAGGGACGUCCAGCUGCAGCGCCGCACACCGAGCCCCUGCUGGACAAAGCCUCCGCUCGGACAACAAGCCCCAGGAUGGGCACAAAGCGCGAGGCAGUGCGGGGAAACGUGCGGGUUUCCACACAGAAGAGCGGAGAAAGCGCGGGGAUGAUCCACGGAUAAAGUGCGCUUGUGAUAACGGAGUGUUCUUCCCAGAGACAGAGAGAGAAAGUUGAAGAGAGAGAAAGAAGAGACGCUGCUGAGGGAGACGCUGUUUACAGCUGCUGUAGUGUAAGUGACGACAGGAAGCGACUCGUUUCACGGACGUUCCACAGCAUUUCGUGUAACUAGAAACGGAUACAAAUCACACCUUUUGUUUUUAUCAUGAAAUAUAAUUGUGUAAAGUGUCGGCGGAUUGCUGAGGUGUAAGAGAAAUAAACCACUUGGAGGCGCUGUGUUAGGAAAAGAAACAACGUCGGGGUGUUGAUUAUUUUCCGAUAACGGCACGGCACAUAGUGUUUUAUUCCUUUAUCUGGGGCUUAAUGCUGGUGAUGUAGAUAAUAGUGACAUAGAUAAGCUAAUACAGUCGAAGCUAGCUAGCGGUUCACGG